UCAAAAUGUUUCGAACGACGCCGAAUCCCCUGGCCCUCUUCAGCUUCACCUCCAUGUCUUUCUCUGAGAUCAAGAACUAGGAAGGACGGAAAACCUAGCACUGGCGCUCAAGAAGAUUGAGUGAAACAAGAGCCAUUUUUAUCUCCAAAUCCCCCUCUCCUCCUUCCUUUUCUGCCCAUCGCAGUGGCGGCUCACGUCGCUCCAUCGCCUUCCCUUUGGCUGCACUCCGACCCACCCUCGGCCCUUAAAAAGCCAUAACCCUGAUCCCAUUUUACCCCCUCAUCCAACCGUCCCUCGACAUUUUCCUUCCAUGACCUCUCGGAUCGUCCAGGGCAAGCCUCCAGGCCCGCCUCGGAGCCCUUCCAAUAAGAAGGAGAAUUUGGACUAGGCGCCCCUCGACAAGCGGCAUAGGUUCGGGGUGAUGGGGAAGAUGGUGGGUCCCGCGACCGACCCACGAACGACGCGGUCAGUGCUGUCCUCCGUCAACGGCGGCCCCAAUUCCGGCGACCAGGCGGCUGCUGGCUCGGAUGGUGGGAGCGCCUCUGGGAUUGAGUUCAGUUCUAGGGAGGACGUGGAGAGGCUUCUGGCUGAGAAGAUGAAAGUCAAGACUAAGAAUGACUUUAAGGGGAAGAGUGAACAGAUGAUAGAAUACAUUAAGAAGUUCCGGAUUUGCAUUAGAUGGUAUAUGGAACUGGAAGAUGGCUACUUGGCAGAGCAGGGGAAGCUUCGAAAUAUGUUGGAAUCUGAAGAGAAAAGGCACAGAGAAAUUGAGUUUUAUCUUCUAGAGUCCCGGAUGAGGGCUGAAAUUGAUGAACUAGAUGCAACAAUAAGGGAGCUUCAAGACCAGAAUUCUUCCUUGCAGGAGAAUUUAGUGAAUGAAGAAACUGAGAAAUUGGUUGCUAUUAAAUCUUACGAAAAUGAAAGACAAACCAGGGUUGCAGUUGAGAAUUCUCAAGAUGCUCUGUCCUUGGACCUUCAAAGAGUUAACCAAGAGAAUAAACGUUUGAGCGACCAGUUGAAAUUGCUACAAGAAACUAAUAGGAGAUUACAGGAGUACAAUACCAGUUUGCAACAGUACAACAGUAAUCUUUAGAAUGAGGCCAACAAAAAUGGUGAAACAAUCUUGAGGUUGCAGAAGGAGAAAAGUGCCAUAAUGGAAAGCCUGACUAGUGCAAGGGAUCAUGCAAACUAACUCAAAAAUCAAUUGGACCCUUCUAAGUCUUCUCAGCAAGAGGCCAUGAAACAGAAAGAAGAAUUGAAAAAGGAAGUCAGUUGUCUUAGAAGUGAAUUACAACAAAUACGAGAUAGUCGUGAUAAUUUAUCAGUGCAAGUGCAGAGGUUGACCUCAGAGUUUGAUAACUAUACAGAACUAACUACAAAAUCAAUAAAAAAUUUGGAUAAAAUAACCAUAAAGACUAUUGCACUUGAGGAGACAUGUGCUUCCCAAAGAGAAAAAAUACAACUUUUGCAGCAUCAGCUUGCUGCUUCCAAUGAGAAGUUGAAGAGAGCUGAUUUAAUAACCAUCAAGACAAUGACAGAGUAUGAAAAGCAGAAAAACACUAUUAUUGAUUUGCAAGAUCGUCUUGCAGAGGCAGAGCUUCAAAUAAUUGAAGCAGAGAAAUUACGUAAAAAACUGCAUAAUACCAUACUGGAACUUACAGGAAAUAUUCAAGUAUUUUAUAGAGUUCGCCUGCUUUUACUUGAUACUGAUUCGGGUGGAACAGAUGAUGUUGUUUCAUAUCCGACAUCCCUUGAAUAUCUUGGGCGUGGCAUUGACUUGACACAUAAUGCCCAGAAAUAUUCCUUCACUUUUGAUAAAGUAUUCAAUGAAGCUUCACAAGAAGAUGUAUUUGUAGAAAUCUCACAGUUGGUUCAGAGUGCACUCGGUGGAUAUAAGGUGUGCAUAUUUGCAUAUGGACAAACUGGUUCCAGUAAAACUUAUACUAUGAUGGGCAAUACUGAGCAUGCUGAACAGAAAGGCCAUAUACCUCGGUCAUUAGAGCAAAUAUUCCAAACUAGUCAAUCAUUACAAUGCCAAGGCUGGAAAUAUAAAAUGCAGGUGUCCAUGCUGGAAAUAUAUAAUGAAACAAUUCAUGAUUUGUUAUCACCUGGUCACCCUAGCAGUUUGGAAGCAAGUGGUGGUCUUAGCAAGCAAUACAGAAUCAAGCAUGACACUUGUGGUAAUACGAUUGUAUUUGAUCUUACCAUCAUAGAUGUUUGCAGCAUCAAAGCAGUUUCAUUCCUCCUCCAGCAAGCUUCACAGAGUAGGUCUGUGGGUAUUGUAUCGAUGGGAGAUCGAAUCAAUAUCAUUUGGUUCGACAUUGGAUAUAUUGGUACGUAUAAAGUUUUGAAAAUUCUUUAAAAAAUUUCAGAAAUAAAAAGAAGUCAUCUUUGGAUCAAACUUGUACUAAUUUGUAUCGUCCGGUGGUACAUUCCCUAUGUUGGAUUUAUCCAACAAUACAAGCCUUGUAUUAAAUAUGUAUCACCUUGUUAGUGUAGUUAGUGUAUUGAAUCAGUAAA